rnacentral:rRNA from 1 species
UACGGAGGGUGCAAGCGUUAUCCGGAUUCACUGGGUUUAAAGGGUGCGUAGGUGGGUUGAUAAGUCAGUGGUGAAAUCCCCGAGCUUAACUUGGGAACUGCCAUUGAUACUAUUGAUCUUGAAUACCGUGGAGGUCAGCGGAAUAUGUCAUGUAGCGGUGAAAUGCUUAGAGAUUACAUGGAAUACCAAUUGCGAAGGCAGGUUACUACUAGUGGAUUGACGCUGAUGGACGAAAGCGUGGGUAGCGAACAGG